rnacentral:rRNA from 1 species
UUAAGCGACUAAGCGUACACGGUGGAUGCCCUGGCAGUCAGAGGCGAUGAAGGACGUGCUAAUCUGCGAUAAGCGUCGGUAAGGUGAUAUGAACCGUUAUAACCGGCGAUUUCCGAAUGGGGAAACCCAGUGUGUUUCGACACACUAUCAUUAACUGAAUCCAUAGGUUAAUGAGGCGAACCGGGGGAACUGAAACAUCUAAGUACCCCGAGGAAAAGAAAUCAACCGAGAUUCCCCCAGUAGCGGCGAGCGAACGGGGAGCAGCCCAGAGCCUGAAUCAGUGUGUGUGUUAGUGGAAGCGUCUGGAAAGGCGCGCGAUACAGGGUGACAGCCCCGUACACAAAAAUGCACAUACUGUGAGCUCGAUGAGUAGGGCGGGACACGUGGUAUCCUGUCUGAAUAUGGGGGGACCAUCCUCCAAGGCUAAAUACUCCUGACUGACCGAUAGUGAACCAGUACCGUGAGGGAAAGGCGAAAAGAACCCCGGCGAGGGGAGUGAAAAAGAACCUGAAACCGUGUACGUACAAGCAGUGGGAGCACGCUUAGGCGUGUGACUGCGUACCUUUUGUAUAAUGGGUCAGCGACUUAUAUUCUGUAGCAAGGUUAACCGAAUAGGGGAGCCGAAGGGAAACCGAGUCUUAACUGGGCGUUAAGUUGCAGGGUAUAGACCCGAAACCCGGUGAUCUAGCCAUGGGCAGGUUGAAGGUUGGGUAACACUAACUGGAGGACCGAACCGACUAAUGUUGAAAAAUUAGCGGAUGACUUGUGGCUGGGGGUGAAAGGCCAAUCAAACCGGGAGAUAGCUGGUUCUCCCCGAAAGCUAUUUAGGUAGCGCCUCGUGAAUUCAUCUCCGGGGGUAGAGCACUGUUUCGGCAAGGGGGUCAUCCCGACUUACCAACCCGAUGCAAACUGCGAAUACCGGAGAAUGUUAUCACGGGAGACACACGGCGGGUGCUAACGUCCGUCGUGAAGAGGGAAACAACCCAGACCGCCAGCUAAGGUCCCAAAGUCAUGGUUAAGUGGGAAACGAUGUGGGAAGGCCCAGACAGCCAGGAUGUUGGCUUAGAAGCAGCCAUCAUUUAAAGAAAGCGUAAUAGCUCACUGGUCGAGUCGGCCUGCGCGGAAGAUGUAACGGGGCUAAACCAUGCACCGAAGCUGCGGCAGCGACGCUUAUGCGUUGUUGGGUAGGGGAGCGUUCUGUAAGCCUGCGAAGGUGUGCUGUGAGGCAUGCUGGAGGUAUCAGAAGUGCGAAUGCUGACAUAAGUAACGAUAAAGCGGGUGAAAAGCCCGCUCGCCGGAAGACCAAGGGUUCCUGUCCAACGUUAAUCGGGGCAGGGUGAGUCGACCCCUAAGGCGAGGCCGAAAGGCGUAGUCGAUGGGAAACAGGUUAAUAUUCCUGUACUUGGUGUUACUGCGAAGGGGGGACGGAGAAGGCUAUGUUGGCCGGGCGACGGUUGUCCCGGUUUAAGCGUGUAGGCUGGUUUUCCAGGCAAAUCCGGAAAAUCAAGGCUGAGGCGUGAUGACGAGGCACUACGGUGCUGAAGCAACAAAUGCCCUGCUUCCAGGAAAAGCCUCUAAGCAUCAGGUAACAUCAAAUCGUACCCCAAACCGACACAGGUGGUCAGGUAGAGAAUACCAAGGCGCUUGAGAGAACUCGGGUGAAGGAACUAGGCAAAAUGGUGCCGUAACUUCGGGAGAAGGCACGCUGAUAUGUAGGUGAAGUCCCUCGCGGAUGGAGCUGAAAUCAGUCGAAGAUACCAGCUGGCUGCAACUGUUUAUUAAAAACACAGCACUGUGCAAACACGAAAGUGGACGUAUACGGUGUGACGCCUGCCCGGUGCCGGAAGGUUAAUUGAUGGGGUUAGCGCAAGCGAAGCUCUUGAUCGAAGCCCCGGUAAACGGCGGCCGUAACUAUAACGGUCCUAAGGUAGCGAAAUUCCUUGUCGGGUAAGUUCCGACCUGCACGAAUGGCGUAAUGAUGGCCAGGCUGUCUCCACCCGAGACUCAGUGAAAUUGAACUCGCUGUGAAGAUGCAGUGUACCCGCGGCAAGACGGAAAGACCCCGUGAACCUUUACUAUAGCUUGACACUGAACAUUGAGCCUUGAUGUGUAGGAUAGGUGGGAGGCUUUGAAGUGUGGACGCCAGUCUGCAUGGAGCCGACCUUGAAAUACCACCCUUUAAUGUUUGAUGUUCUAACGUGGACCCGUAAUCCGGGUUGCGGACAGUGUCUGGUGGGUAGUUUGACUGGGGCGGUCUCCUCCUAAAGAGUAACGGAGGAGCACGAAGGUUGGCUAAUCCUGGUCGGACAUCAGGAGGUUAGUGCAAUGGCAUAAGCCAGCUUGACUGCGAGCGUGACGGCGCGAGCAGGUGCGAAAGCAGGUCAUAGUGAUCCGGUGGUUCUGAAUGGAAGGGCCAUCGCUCAACGGAUAAAAGGUACUCCGGG